AUGUGCCCUAGGGGUCCUGCUGGUGUCCCCACGUCCCCACAGGGUCCCCACGUCUCCUUGAGGACCUCGCGGGGGGAUGAGUCCCCACAGGGUCCCCACGUCUCCUCAGGGUCCCAGUGUCCCCUCGGGGACCCCCUGGAGGUCUGUGUCCCUACAGCAUCCCCCCAUGCCCUUGGGGGUCCUCUUGGUGUCCCCAUGUCCCCACAGGGUCCCCAUGUCCCCUUGGGGUCCUCCCUAGCGAGCGUGCAASCACACGCUGCACCWUGCAAUCGCGUCUGCCCCCUUCCMUUGCACACCCAGGGGCACGCGAGCGUGCAAGCACACGCUGCACCGUGCAAGCACGUCUCCACCCUUCCAUUGCACACCCAGGGGCACGUGGGCGUGCAAGUGCACGGUGCACCGUGCAAGCACGUCUCCACCCUUCCAUUGCACACCCAGGGGCACGCGAGCGUGCGAGCACACGCUGCACCAUGCAGUUGUGUCUGCACCCUUCCACUGCACACCCAGGGGCACGCGAGCGUGCGAGCACACGCUGCACCAUGCAGUUGCGUUUGCACACCCAGGGGCACGCGAGCGUGCGAGCACACGCUGCGCCGUGCAGUUGCGUCUCCCCCUCUCCCGCUCUGCCCACGCCCACCCGCCCCUCGGGCCCCUCGGGCCCCACUGCCGCCCGUGGGGCGCCCCACACCGGCGCCGGGGCCGCGGGCGCCUUUUGUAGCGCAAGCGUUUUUUAAGCCAAGCCUUGGGGCCGCCCGGCGCCCCCCCACCCCCGUUUUUAACCCCCCUUGGUGGCGGUGGCAGCGCUGGGGACGCGGGGACGUGGGGACGUGGGGCGCGGGGACGUGGGGCGCGGGCCAGGCCGUCGUGUACGCGCCGCCGUGGGUCCCGGCCGCCGCCGGCCCCAAAGAAACCCCCCGGGAAGCCGCCAGGUCUCCGAGCAUCAUUGACCCCGCGCCGGCGCCGCCCCCGCCCCCGGGACCCACAGCAUCCAGGGACCCACCGCCCCACAGCACCCACAGCCCCACGGCACCCAGGGACCCACAGCCCCACGGCACCCAGGGUCCCACGGCACCCACAGCCCCACAUUUCCGUGGCACCCACAGCCCCACAGGUCCCGCAGGCACCCCGCCAUACAGGACCCACACGGGAGGGGACCCAGGUGUCCUGGCAGGCCCCGAGCAGCCGAGGGGAGGGAGCUGGGGGGCACGGAGGGGGCCCAGGCGUCCUGGCAGGGUGCACGGGGCCCGCGGGUGCUCGUGCACCCUUGUGUGGGGGGGGAGAGGGGGGAGCCCCGCUUCUGCCGGGGGGGAUUUGCGUCCCUGCCUCCUGCCUGCGGCUCCCCCGAGAAAUCAUCAGCGGGAAUUAAAUGGGGGUGUUCGUUAG
ensembl:lncRNA